rnacentral:lncRNA from 1 species
GGUGAUUAGAGGCGGUUUUGCAGCAUUCAGUCAUAUAUCAGUGAAGAGAAUGUAGUUUAAAAAAUCUGCACACGCAUAGCAGAUAAGAUGCUACCACAAGAAAUGAAAAGACUUGCAACCAUUGUUGUCAAAUGUAUCAGAGAUGGCCAUUUAGAAAUUUCCAAUUUCUAAAUGUUGUAAGAUAUUUGCUGUACAAGGUUUGAAUGAGAUUAAGAGCGGGAAUUUUUCAACUAUAUAUAAAAAAAUUUAAAAAAACAGACAAGAAACAUUCUAAAUGUUCGAAUAUAAGAUAAGGACUCCACAAUUCAUGCAACACAUUCAAAGCAUUAUCAAUGAUGAUCCCAACAGAUGAACAACCGUCGUCAAAGAAUUUCAGCUGUUGGAUGGGCUGUCAAGACUGUUGUGGUGGCGAGACACGACACUUUAUGCGAGAAUAGACUUGAUUGAACGACAAUGAAUAGCAGCGGACUGAGUGAGAGACAGAGAGAAGGUACAAGACCCGAAAUUUUUGGAGAGGG